GGUGAUGGAUCCGACUCCUCUCGAAGGAUAAUAUAGGCUCUCCUCCCCACUCCUACUCAAUACGUCCAAGGCGUACAGAACGG
rfam:Anopheles atroparvus strain EBRO unplaced genomic scaffold supercont1.490, whole genome shotgun sequence.